rfam:Methanobrevibacter sp. AbM4, complete genome.
GCUUUAGUGGCUCAGCUGGUAGAGCGCCACCUUGGUAAGGUGGAAGUCGGGGGUCCGAAUCCCCCCUAAAGCU